ACACCCUGUGCUAGAAAACUGGCUGAGAAACUGCACUAUGAACUUUGUUUCUAACAAUUCUGCUUCUGCGCUUUGACUGAUGUUCCACCAACAAAUCAGAUCAUAGUUUGUACUUCUAAUUGCAGCCACUGUAACAGUAUCUUUACGCAGUCUUUCCAUUCCAUCUCAAGAGUGUCCUCCUAGCCUCGCCUUUUUCCUAUUUAAUAUCUCCUGCACAACCUCUUCAGAAAUAAUUGGUAGUUUGAAAUGAGCUGAACUUAUGCUGCAAGGGGAGAUUCUGGAGCACAGAUAUCGUGGGUGGGAUUUCCACGCCCAGUCUGUGGAGACAGCACAUAACCUGGCGGUCAACAAUCAUAGAAUCACCAAGGUUGGAAACCUCCAAGAUCAAGCAGCCCAACCUUCACACUCCACCAAUACUUCCCCGCUAAACCACCUCCCUCAGUACAACAACGUCUGCCGUUGGAGUUACAGCUCCCGGCUUCGGGGAGCCCAGCAGAAACUCUUUUGUUCCUGUCUUCCGGGCCUUGCAAUUUUAAAUCAGCAGAGAGAAGAGGAAGCAGGGAGACUCCAGCUCGUAUCUUACCUUUGCAGGAUGCAACUGAACCACUCCCUAACCUCCUGCAUCAAGCUGAAAAAGUUUGCUCCCAGGCCAAGUCUUCAGCCAGAAAAUAUUCCUGCACCUUCCCAUUCAAAAGCAAACAGCUGCUGGCUCUGUCUAAAGGAAUGCCUUCAAAUGUAAAACUGACCACUAACUGUUGCUAAUUGCCUGCUGCUGCUUCCAGACAACACAUUCCUUACCAGUCUCAGACGCUUUUUUUUUCCUCACUAACCAGCUGCUCCAUUUUUUUAUAAUAGAAAAAGUGACCUCAGUAGAGAUUCAACUAGAAAUUUAAACAACUAGGAUCAACUCUGCCAAGUGGACUUUAAGAAAGUUAUGCUUUUCUAAUUUUAUAAACGUAUAUUUCGUUUAAUGUCCCAAAGCAAGUACAAUUGAGGUUUUAGAAGUAUAAAGCAACAAACCAGCAGUAGUAACUAGAUAAAAGCUGGACUUGAGGAAGAAAAGUCCCACUUCUUGUUCCUAACAGAAGCAAAUGUAAUAAAUGCAAACCCUGUCCAAAGCAGCAAUGGCAGCGGCUGAUGAAAAGUGAGAGCAGGGAGAAAUCCCUUGAGACUGCAGUGUAGCAGGUACAAGUCUUUCUCACGUCUGGGGCUCAACUCAGUCACAUUUUGCACUGCUAAGAUCUGUAAAGUGAUUCACGUUCCUUCAAGAUUUAGCAAGGUUUCUCUAACUCAAACCUUUAUGGAACAUGACCUUUUUGGUACUUUCUACUUCUGCAAUAUGAGGGACAUGUUUCUUUUUACGAGUCGCUGAAACUCCUGAAAACCAAACAGCAUUUCCAUCUCAGAGUAACCAGGCUUCAGGCUUUUCUUCCAUACACCACCAGAAAUUAAAUAAAUUUAUCAAAAUACUUGACUGGAAAAACAAAACGAACAGAACAGAAAUGUAUGCUGAAACGGGUACCUUCAGUGUGUCUGUAUAAAAGAUGGACAAAGCUGGCUGAUUCCCCCACCCUGUGAGCUGAAAGCCUUCUGUGUCUCUCCCGCCUUCCGUCAGCUAAUGAACGUCAAUUGACAUAAGUGGCACAGUGACAUCCACUAAUUAGACUAUCACUUAACUCGGGAAGUGUGACAGCAUGAACAUGUUUUGGAGAACAAUCAGAAUACUGUAAAAGCAAUAUUAAAAUUCCUGGCUUUCUACACAAUAUAUAUGUACAUUGCAUAUGUAUAUACACACAUACACAUAAGACAAAAUCAUUUCUAGUUUAAGACAGAAUUACUUUCAUUUCACAAUGAAAUUUUCAGAACUCAUCUUCAUGUUUCUCUAGUAACAGUGCUUCUUGAUGAAUACCAUGAGUGGCACAACAUUUAAGUUUCACAACUCUUGAUUUUCAUCCCCUUGAUAUCAGACAGUAUUCACUAUGGCAAUAACAUUACACAGUCACGUAAUCUCUGUAGAAGUAAAAAAUAAAAUAAAAUGAAAAUAAGUAUUUAGUAAAAAGAACUAAGUAAGAUAAAGAAUUAUUAAGAAGUUAGAGAAAUAAUAGCCCUAGACAAACUUAAGAGGAACAUGGCCAUCAUUUCCUUAAAUAGCCUCAAUAUUGUUUGUCUGCUGGUGUAUCUGCUUUUGAGAAAUUAGCAUUUGAAAUUUUCUUAUCAAGGUUUCUUUAGGGAGGUGUAAUUCAAGGCCUAUGAAAGGAACAGGAAAGUAAUCACUCACUCUUGAAAAGCGUGGGCUCACCUCUAAUCCCAUUCUUCUCCUCACUUCUGUAAAGCGUUAGUUCAAAGACAACUAUAUAGGUUUGAUUGUAUAUGUAUGUGUGUGUGUGUGUAUUUUGUAUACAGGAUAUAUACACACACACACACACACACAUAUAUAUAUAUGUAUAUAUACAUACCACCUUCUCAGAGCCGUUAUAAAUUAUAUUACAUUACAUCAGUCUUCUUUGAAGUUUCCAUCACAUAUGAAAUAGAUGCCUUCCGGUUACAGAAUAUCCAGGCUUAGACAAGUGACGUGCUUUGUGUUAUUCAUUUAUUUGUCCUACAAUCACAAUAUUUUUACAUUAUUCUUCACUGGCAGUACCACAGGACUGUCAGCAGAAACCACCACGGUAGUGCAGUUUUCUGGUGUUUGUGCUAUAAUCAAAUUAACAGAGAUUCUAGCACCUAUUGAAGCACUCAGAAUAUCCGCAAUCAGUUCUCCAAAUGAUUUAAACAAGGAGAUGGUCUUAUUUGCACAUCAGCAAUUUCCACUCCAACAGAAACAAGACUGAAGCAAAAGAAAGAAUUCUUUCCAACAAUUGCCACUGUUCAUACUCGAAGGAUGUUUAUUACAAGGAAACGUGAAGUGUGUUAGUGAAAGGAUAUAGCUAAUGUGACAUUAAAGUAAAACCAGCAUGAUGACCUACUUUUGUUUCUGCUGAAUUAAGUUACAUUUUGUCUUGCCUUGAGAGACUGAAUAUCAUUAGUUAGAGUACCAGGCAUAUUACGCGCUUACCUUCAGUGACAGAUCAAAGCAGCGAGGUAAUCCAGGGACAACAGUGUUGAGCUGUAUGACAGUUGUGCACAGUGGAGUCCUGGGAGGAGGUCACUGCCUAUACAGAAUAAGAAAACAGUGUAAGUUGCUGGGAUAAGUAUCCUUGGGAAAUAUCCUGGGAUAUUUCAGUGUAAGUGCAAUCCAAGAUGCUGAAAUCAAUACAAAUGUGAAACCCAUUUCUAAUUUGCUGUGUUAUGAGAAACGGAUGAGUAAAAACAUAGCGUCUUUUUGAAAUGGACUAUUUUACCUACUUACUUGAAUAUAUAUGUGCAUCAUCAAUACAUUGACAUCAUAAUUCAUCAAAAGGUAUCUAUGGAUACUCCAAACAUUCCUACUUCAAAAGAUUUGUAGGAUCAGAAAACUCCAACAACCUUGAUUCUGAACCUUGGAUGGCCUUGAGCCAUUCACAGCUAUGAACUUAAUCUUUGCUGAAACAAAUGUUUGUAAAGUGAAGUGGAUGUGGAUAAGAUUAUGAAAGAGCAAACCUUAUUUUGUGAUGAGCCCAGAGUUCCUGACACUGCACAGCAUGGACACCGUGGUAUUUGUUAUUCACUAACCUUUCGUGCACUUUCUAGUGUAAAGGACAUAAAAUAUCAACCAAUGUAACUUCCUUUUUUUUGUAUCUCGUAUGACUGCAUCUGUCAAAAAAGCUAACUUACUGAUUAAUGAACUCCAAAGAUAAUCUGUGAAAUUGUGUUCAACUAUUGAUCAUUUUCUGACAUUUCCUGCUGCAAAUAAAGGUGUUUGCUCUUUUUUCCACACACAUUUUUCCUCCUCUAUAUAUAAGUACAGAGAAUCUUUCAGUACGUUUACAACAAAUGAAGUCAAAGACUUCACUUCUGGUAGAAAUGACAGAAAGACUCAAAUGUGAUGCCCACAUUACAGUGAAUAUACUUUCAGAAAACUGAGGUCAUUUUUCAUUAUUUGCACAAGUUGGGAUUAAGUCUCUAAAACCAACACACUAUUUCUUCAAACAAAUCACUGUAUACACCUGAUUAAAUCAGAGUACUUUACAUUAGAAGGCAAAUGUGUUUUAGUAAAACCCCA
ensembl:lncRNA